rfam:Erythranthe guttata cultivar DTN x IM62 scaffold_54_contig_1, whole genome shotgun sequence.
AAGAUAAGAACCUGUUUGGAUAGCCAAAGGAUGAUGCCUAAAAUCUCCAAUUAGGGUUCUAUUAGUGCUAAUUAAUUGCACCACUUAACAUAUUCUUCUUGUUAAGAGCCCCUUAAUCCAAAGUGGAUUUAGGCAAGUCAUCCUUGGCUACCAAACAAGACUCUUCAUCU